CUGAAAUCUUUUAUCCAUAUAACAGUUACAUCAAAGGGAGCAGUUUAUGCUUCCCCACAUUGCUUUACUGAUGUGCCUCAAUCUUGACUUGAAUAGAACACCUCAAGGGUUAGAGGGAAGUUCAG
rnacentral:sRNA from 1 species